rnacentral:rRNA from 1 species
GAUAACCGUGGUAAUUCUAGAGCUAAUACAUGCUGGUGUGCCCGACUUUUGCGGAAGGGCGGUAUUUAUUAGAUAACAAGCCAAUAUUCCUCUGGUCUAUUGUGGUGACUCAUAAUAACUGAUCGAAUCGCAAGGCCUGUGGCCGCGAUAAGUCAUUCAAGUUUCUGCCCCAUCAGCUUUCGAUGGUAGUGUAUUGGACUACCAUGGCGUUUACGGGUAACGGAGGAUUAGGGUUCGAUUCCGGAGAGGGAGCCUGAGAAACGGCUACCACAUCUAAGGAAGGCAGCAGGCGCGUAAAUUACCCAAUCCUGACUCAGGGAGGUAGUGACAAGAAAUAACGGACCGAGGCCCUCGGGCUUCGGGAUUGCAAUGAGCCGAAUUUACACCCCUUAGCGAGGAUCGAUUGGAGGGCAAGUCUGGUGCCAGCAGCCGCGGUAAUUCCAGCUCCAAUAGCGUAUAUUAAAGUUGUUGCAGUUAAAAAGCUCGUAGUUGGAUUUCUGGGAGGGUGCCAAUGUCCGCCGACGUGCGUGCGCAGCGGCGCCCUUCCAUCCUUCUGUUAACGCCUCUUGGCAUUCAUUUGCUGGUGGCGGGCUCAGAUAUUUUACCUUGAGAAAAUUAGAGUGUUUCAGGCAGGCUAGGCCGGAAUACAUUAGCAUGGAAUAAUGGAAUAGGACUACGGUCUCUUUGUUGGUUUGAGGGACUGCAGUAAUGAUUAAUAGGGAUAGUUGGGGGCAUUAGUAUUUAAUGUCAGAGNGGAAUNCUCGGAUUUGUUAAAGACUAACUUAUGCGAAAGCACUUGCCAAGGAUGUUUUCAUUAAUCAAGAACGAAAGUUNGGGAUCAAGACGAUCAGAUACCGUCCUAGUCUUAANCAUAAACUAUGCC